UACGUAGGGUGCGAGCGUUGCCCGGAUUUAUUGGGCGUAAAGGGCGCGUAGGCGGUCACUACAAGUCAGUUGUGAAAUCUCUGGGCUUAACUCAGAACGGUCAACUGAUACUGUCGGACUAGAGUGCAGAAGGGGCAACUGGAAUUCUCGGUGUAGCGGUGAAAUGCGCAGAUAUCAGGAGGAACACCAAUGGCGAAGGCAGCUCGCUGGAACGGUACUGACGCUGAGGUGCGAAAGCGUGGGGAGCGAACAGG
rnacentral:rRNA from 1 species